AACGCACAUUGCGCCCCUUGGUAUUCCAUGGGGCAUGCCUGUUCGAGCGUCAUCUAAACCCUCAAGCCCCAUGGGUGUUGUCCCGCCUCGUGCGCGGCCUUCGCCUGGCUUGGUGUUGGGUGCCUGUCCCUGCUCCCCGCGGGACUCACCCCAAAUGCAUUGGCAGCAGCCCCUCGGCUUCCCGCGCAGCACAUUGCGCAGCGGAGCGUAGAGAGGGCGUGCGUCCAGCAAGCAAACCCCAAGUUUGACCUCGGAUCAGGUAGGGAUACCCGCUGAACUUAA
rnacentral:misc_RNA from 1 species